GAGAGUUUAUAGUGCUGUGAGUUUAACACUUCAUGACUGAUACUGUUUAUCAUCACAAAAAAAGCAACUACAAUGACAUUGAUCAUAUUCUUCUUGAUCUUAGGGAUGUAUUUUCAAGGACAGGUGACUGUGAUUCAGACUCCAACAGAGAAACAUGUUCAGAACGGACAAACAGUGACUCUGACCUGUAAAACCAGCAGCUCUAUUGGACACCAGUCAGACGGUUGGUGUGGGUCAUGUCUCUCCUGGUACCUACAGAAACCUGGAGAAGCUCCUAAACUUUUAGUGUACAGCAUUAAAACCCUCCGGUCAGGAACUCCAUCAAGAUUCAGUGGAAAUGGAGCUGACUGUGGAACUGAUUUCUCUCUGACCAUCAGUGGAGUCCAGACUGAAGAUACAGGAGAUUAUUACUGUAUGGCUAUAAACUAUAUCAGUAAUAGCUGGGUGUUCACACAGUGAUAAAGAGUCGUACAA